GAGCAGGUGGCGAAACUGGUAGACGCAUUACACUCAAAAUGUGACCCAUUUAGGAUAAGGGUUCGAAUCCCUUCCUGCUUA
rnacentral:tRNA from 1 species